rnacentral:tRNA from 1 species
GGAGGAGUCGGAUAGUGGUUCAUUCCGCGCGCUUGGAGAGCGCGUGAGCCUUAAAAGCUCGCGUGGGUUCGAAUCCCACCUCCUCCG